GACCGUCGAUUCCUGCUCGUCGAGCAGGUCGGCCUCGCCGAAGUACUCGCCGUCGCCCAGCAGCGCUAUCCGCAGGUCCUCGCCGUGUGGCCCCUUGCUGAUGACCUCCGCCUGACCGUUGGCCACGAUGAAGAAGCGCUGCUUGUCCUUGCCCUCCUCCACGAAGAGCUUAUCGACAUCCACCUCCUGCGCCUCGAAGGCACUCAACAGUCGGGCGAGUAUCUCGUCGUCAAACUCCGAGAACAACGGAAUCGCCUUCAGGUCCUUGGCCGUGAACGACGGCUUGCCGUCGACAUACUGUAUGGGCAGGCGGUCGUUCUUGCGUAGCUCCACCUUCGUGCGGUUCACGCGGAAGGUGCCGCCUGAGACCUGCACCCAGGGCAGCAGUUUCAGCAGUAGUCUCGGAGUAAUCGACCCCAUCUGCGGGGCAGUCUUGGUGGUGGUCGCCAGCCGUCUGGCGGUGGCAGUG
rnacentral:antisense_RNA from 1 species